rnacentral:sRNA from 1 species
UGAUACGGGAACGAACAUACGUCUUGUAA